rnacentral:tRNA from 1 species
GACGGUAUAGCUCAAGUGGUAGAGCACAUACUUAGCAUGCAUGAGGUCAUGGAUUCAAUUCCCAGUACCUCCU